rnacentral:misc_RNA from 1 species
AACGCAUAUUGCACUCGAGGCUUCGGCCAAGAGUAUGUCUGCCUCAGCGUCGGGUUUAUAUCACACCCCUCCUCUCAUGUGGGGAGCACGCGUGUGGACCUGACCGUUCCAGUUAGACGGGAUGAGCCCCACCUCGGUGCGGCGCAUCCGUGUGGACCUGGAUCGGUUGAAGAGCAGAGAUUCGCUCAGGACCCGCUAAGGGCCGCAAUUGGGUAGGCAACUCGUUGCUCACGCUUAAUUGUUGGCUUGGAUCCCAGCGCAAUCCUCAACCAGGAAACAAACCCUUAUAUCCUCGACCUGAGCUCAGGCAAGAACACCCGCUGAACUUAA